AUUUUCAUGCAGUUAAAUGCAAUUUAACUAAGUUAACAACAAAGAGCGCAGUUAGUGUGUUAGUUAGUAUGGUCAGUGAUUUCUGGCAUACCAGCAUGCGCAUGGCGAUAGUAGGUCAGCGGCUGUUAGUGUUUGAGCAUGCGCAAACAACAGGCACGCAUUGUUCGGAAAUCCUUCUAGACUUGGGUGCUUAUUAUCGGAAAGUUCAUUGUUUUUUCUUAUUAUUUUUUUUAUUUUUUAUUUUUUUUGUCCAUCCACUGACCCAGUCAGUGUGACAGGUGUUAGGGCCUGGUGUGGGGGCUCAUGGCUGGGUUGCAGGGAAUUGCAAGCCAUGAGAGUGGUAUGUUUGUCUGGGGGCUGGCUUUGGAAGUGGAAGCCCCUAGGUGACCCAGGCACCCAUUAUCCACAAGCGAUACAGUUGUUAAUUUAAUUUAAAGCAAAUUAGUGGAUUUUAAACAACGUUUAUGCAAAUGGAGCCGCACGUUCAUUUAUUUCUGUCUGAUUCCCGCCAAAUUUCCAGACCGGAGCGUGGAAAAGAAUUGUUUACAAUGACUAUAAUUAAUAUAAAACCACAUGAAUAUGG